AAUGAACGCUGGCGGCGUGGAUUAGGCAUGCAAGUCGAACGGGGUAGCAAUACCCAGUGGCGACCUGGACAGUACAAGUUGGGUAACUUGCCCGAAAGUGGGGAACAACGUCCCGAAAGGGGCGCUAAUACCGCAUGUGGUCACGGGGUCCUCGGACUCUUUGACUAAAGCAGCAAUGCGCUUUCGGAUGGGCCCGACUCCCAUUAGCUAGUUGGCGAGGUAAUAGCUCACCAAGGCUACGAUGGGUAGGUGGUCUGAGAGGAUGGACACCGUCACGAGGACUGAGAUACGGCCUCGACUCCUACGGGGGGCAGCAGUCUAGAAGCUUCGGCAAUGGGCGAAAGCCUGACCGAGCGACGCCGCGUGGAGGAUGAAGGUCUUCGGAUUGUAAACUCCUUUCGGCGGGAAAGAACGUCUGGGUGGCGAACUCAGGCUUGACUGACCCGCGGAAGAAGCCCCGGCUAACUCUGUGCCAGCAGCCGCGGUAAU
rnacentral:rRNA from 1 species